AAGGAAAAAGUGUGUACUUUUAUUAAAAUAUAACUUCUUGGUACAAUAAACGAAAGAUUGAGAAAAUAUGUUAGUCAAGUUGGUGUUUUGGCAACAAAUUUUAGCAAAAAAAAAAAAGUUGGUGUUUUGUUAAUAAUUCAUUUUGGAGUUCUUAUGCUUAACUGUCUCGACCACCGUACUAUAUAUAUCAUGAUCAAUCUUAUUAAACUAAAUGAUUGAAAAUGAUAGAUUGAGACUUUGAAUUGGUGUCGCUGAAAAUUCUUUGCUUACAUCAUUCUCUAAUGUGUCGGUCUUCAACUUAAAUUAUUCAACAGAAAUGCAAGCAAAAAGGCCUCAUAAUCUAACACUAUUAAAAGGAGAAUAACAAGCCUCCUGAACUAUGCCACCUAGGAUCAGAAAAUCAUCCAAUCAGACCACUCUUUUUUGACAUGUCAUAAUGGUUUUCAUAUGGGCUCUAUUGACACUUUCGUAUUGGUUCUAUUCAGACUAUCAUUAGGCCCAUUCCUGACAAAUCUGUUUCUUCUAGCGUCUAUAGUCUCUCCACCCCCACCCCCCCUCGACUCUUCCACUUCAUCUUUCUCCAAACGUCUGCCUUUUCUCUAUUACCUUCUCAAUCAAUAACGCUGUUAAAGCUAUUCUUCAAUUGUGUGAUCCAUCUCUCCUUGAUACUUCUCUUAUAUAAAGCUCUAUCUCUUAACCUAAAUCCAUCCUAAAUCAAAAAACCUCAUCUGCAAAAACUACACCCAUGGUUUGAUACUAACGUAAUCUCACCCAAAUCUCAUCGCUCUCCUCACUUAUUUUCUAACUUUUUAUAUUUAGCUUUCAAAACACAUGUGACUAGAACCGUAGCCAUUCAGUUAACCGAGCUAACCAGCUUUGUCCAGGUACAGACACGAAUCCAAACCUCCAAAACCUAGGAAGAUGAAGAAUGACUUACCCAGAAUUUAGAUCGUCUGUUAGACAAAAAUUGCAGUAAGCUCUUUUCUCGGAUCUUACAAUUGUUACAUUGAUAUUUUCUCACCGUUUGCAAUUCUCUCACAAUUACCCAGAUUGUUAUCAAUGUGAGGUCCUUUUAUAAAUCACGAUUCAAUUGAGUACGUGUGCAGCGUGUUACUAGAGCAAGAAGGAGAGCAACAGAGCAAGCGCCAGUGUAAGUGACAGGCUGAUCAAGAUGGACAGCCCCGUAAACUUCAUCCUUUCAUUACUCACAGUUGUAAAAACCCUUACAACUUUCUUUGAGAAGAAUGGUGAACUCCUCGCUCCUUCUUUCUGAUUUCAAGGUUGGGCGUUUAAGCAACUUUUUGAUUACCAUCGUGUUCAGCCAUCAAAUUUUGUGUUUGUUAAUGACAAAUUCUGAUAUUUGGAGGUUCCAGUUAAGAAAAAUAUUAAAAACUCCCAAAGAGGCUUGCUAUGGUGUCUUGAGAUUCGUCAUGGAGAGUGGAGCUAGGAGUUCGUGUACACAUCCCUUUUCUCUAUUUUUUUAUUUAUAGUUUCUUCUCCAUUUAUUAAAGCAAACCUUCAGUUUAAGUAGUCAACAACCUUGCGAUUCCUCUAUCUAAGGUUCCGUGUUGAGCUUGCUGUGGAUAACGGCAAAGAUACCGGCUAUGUUUGGUGUCUUUGAUAAGGAGAUGACAAAGCUUACCAACAAAGAAUUUGUUGUCCUUGCGCUUAAAGAGCUACCAAACGGUGGAGAGGAUGAGCUACUUCCCUUGAAGAGCUUACUGGCAAGGAGUGUGUUUCAGAUCCGUGUGACACUUUAUAACUUCACACCCAACCACCGUACCUUCAGUGUCUCGACCAUCACUGAAGAUCUCAUCAUUGACAACCAGGCCGACGUUUGUAAUCUUGCUGGUGAAUCUUUAGUUUUCCCAGCUUUUAUGUAUACAUCACUUUCAGAGGCUGCUGAGAACAUUCUUCCAAGCAGUGAAGGUGCCAGAGGAUUAACUGCAUCAUCUUCGGGCGUGGCGGUUGUGGGAAAGAAGGUAUGAAUGGAAUGUAGCGCAGCAAAUCAACAUAUUAGCCUGCAAGUAUUGAAAACACCCGCAAGCGCCACCAUAAUGAUAGGAAAUUAUUAUUCAUAUCAUCCCGUCAACCUCUGUUUCAGUGAGUAGUUUUUUAAAUUGCUAUCAUCUUUGUUUCUCAUUUAAAAAUUUUUUUUUUGCCCCUGCAAGGUUUAUCUCUUAUGUAGUUUUCUUUGUCUUUUGAAUUACUAAUGAAGCGUUAUUAACGGGUUUUCAUAAUUCAACAUAUUCUUAA